UUUGCCAUUCAUCAAUUGUUUUAUAUUAUUAUAAGCAAUUUCAACAUUUCCAAUGCUGUAGCUACUAAUACUGAUUUGUUCGCUCAAUAAAAACAAAGAAGCCACAUAUUUUUAUAGGUAUGCUUAUUUCUUAACGUUUCUAAGGACUGUCACUGAACAUUUUACCUCAGAUCGAAAAUUAGACAUUCUUACCUGAAAAACCGAUGAUAAACGCUAUCUUCCUCCACGUUUAUGACUUCCUCAUGUUGUCUUUGAAGAAUCUAUGGUUGGUUGCAUAUAAUUCUGGGUAUUUCCCUGCAUCGUUGACUAGUUUUUUGUCUUUUGCGGUCCGCUACUCCGCUAUUUUAAUGACCUGAAGUGUGUUGUGACGGUUGAGACCUGGUAAAUCCAGCAGGUGGCUGCCGACAACAUUGAAUGUAAUCACGACAGGCAAAUACUGUAUUAAAUGUCUCGAGAGAAAAAUAAAAGAUUAAAAGGACUACGUUUAUUACACAUUUAUUUAUAUAUGUUAACAUUUUAUCAAGCUGUACAACUAAUGUAAGUAGUUAUUUUGGGUAUCUUGGUAUAAUGUAUGAACAACGGUUUGAAACAAAUAUUAUGUUAUUUAAUACAAAACUAUGCAGAUGGCGCUCCGUGGCGCGGCAGGAAUUUGAACAGCGUCCUGAGUCGUAGCUGGGCGACGCGGACAGACGCCGAAUGGCGCCGCCGGUGUGUGUACACUCAUAGAGAAUAAUGUGUUCGAAUUUUAAAGACGUGGCGCGACGCGACGCUGCGCUUCUCGUCCGGUGUGCAACCCCCUUAACCGUCUCUCACAGAUUUGAAUUGCUAUGCAGUGCAGACCACGGUGCAGACGCGGGAUACUUAGAGAAGGGAGAGACCAGAAAGAGCUAUUUUCUUUCACUCGCGAAGCGGAGCAGACGAGGAAGUUGGUUUUAACAAGGAAAACACCGAAAGUAAGUGUUUUACUUCAUUUACUAUAUGUAUUUCAUAAAAUAAUAUUAUUUAGUAAUGAUAUUUGUUUUUUUGUUGCGUGCCUAGACGAUCUGAAACAUUUCUCACAAAUUAAAUUUGAUGUCAAAUCAAACCACUGUAAACGGCACAAAUCUAAAAUAGCAAUAUCAGUAAUGUUAACUGUUUCUUGCAUGUCUCGUGAACAAAUUUAGCCAUUAUAUUAAGCAUCAAUUUAAAGAGUUUUCAUAAUGUUGAUGUGUCAAUAUAUUGGAUUUGAGUUAUUUUUCCAUACAUAUGUAUGUAUGUGUAUGUUUCAUAUUUCAUAUAUUUUCUUAUAUAUUCAUUUGUAUAUAUUUGAAAAUAACUUUUCAGUAUACUCAAACUCUCUAUACUGCAUGAGUUAAAUUGUUCACCAUUCAAAGUGAAUUUGUGCCCUCACAAGACUUGGAAUAUGACACAUGGGUAGCAAGAACUACAGAUUAGAUAUGAUUUUUUUGGUAUGCUUGUACUGUCCUUUAUUCAUGUGCUGUCCCAUUUAUGUGCGUUCAUUUUGAUAGACAGAGCCCUGCUUCAGCGCAAUGAGAUCAGCAUGGAAUUCAGGAAUUAGGACCUAUUUUCCAGUAAGUCGGACUUUCUUUUUUCAACAAAAAUAUAUAGUAAAUAAUCAUCUACUCACCCUUGAAUUUUGUGUUAUGUCAUAUCACAAAAGGAGAUUUAAAUAAAAUGCUGAGUUAAAUCUUUAUCACUGACUCCGGACUGGAGCUUCGGUUGUUAUGACUGUCAAAAAUGACAGCUGACAGAUGAACGUGAUAACUUCAUGCAACGAGCACAGCAGAUGUAUUUACCUCAGAGAAAAAAGCACAUAUAAAUGCUUUGAGUGAACUAUUAUUGUAUUGUACUAUUUAGGGCUCAAGCCCGAAGGGGCGAAGAGCCCUCUUGGUUUUCUAAGGAUUAUUCUUAUUAUUAUUUUUUUUAUUUUUUUUUAACCUUCCGGGGGUUUUUGGAGGCCUUAACAUACUCAAAAACUCUUGAAAAUUGGCACACACAUUGGAACCUGCGGCCAUCAGGACGCCGCAGAGGCUGGGACCCGGGCGUGGCACAGGGGCUCUACGGCGCCCCCUGGAACACAGUCAGAAAUCUUGAACCAUAGCGCACACAUACUUGCAUGUAUUUAUAUGAAACUCUGUACACUUAUAGAUCUCAUCGAGCCGAACAACUUUCGCGCUCUAUGUCAUAGGCUCCGC
rnacentral:lncRNA from 1 species